GACAGUGGUCAAAGACGGAUUUGCAAUGUCGAUUGUCUUGUGGACCACCACCAACAAUACCACGAGCUAUGGUUUCUGAAGGCAAUACUCUCAUUGGCACAACAAGAAAGUACAUUUGUCUUCGAAACACCAUCAUGACAGGUACACCAACUAUCACCUGUGGCGUGGAUGGACAGUGGUCAAAGACGAAUUUGCAAUGCCGGCGGAAAAGACCAGAUCCGUCAGAAACCUCGCCGGACAGCUCAUCAGAAACCUCCUCAGACAGCUCAUCGGACGAUGACGACUAAUCCUCAGAUCCGUAAUCCUGAUCAGAAGACCAUUUUUAUGUCGAUUUGA